GCGAGCUGGGGGCGGGGCCAGCGCGUGGCGUCAGCGCGCAGCACGUACCCUCCCGCCCUGGAGCCCAGGGCUCGGGGGUGACUUGCAGGUCUACUUCCGCGAGGUUUUGGGGAAGUGCAGUUCUGCUCGCUUACACAAUUUUCCCCACCCAUUAUUGUAAACGUAGUUUCCCGUCGUCGAGCCACAGACUUGUCUUCUAAUUUGUACUCUUUAAAAAACCUCCUUGGUGUGAUCUCUCCGGGACAGGAGCUUGGGAGGCAGUCCCGAAGGACUCCCGGUUUUCAUUGGUUCCUGAUGUUGUCGUUAAUAGGACUCUGUGGUCUCUGAUUGGCUCCUUAAAGCGAGGCUGCAAAUUUCCUCCACUGAUCGGCUCACGCUCCGCUCGGCGGGCAACGCGCGCUCCGACCCAUGAUUAUCCCGUUUCACCUAAUCCGAGGUUUACCCUCCGGAGUAGUGGUGACCCGCACGGUUUCGCGUUACGAGCAUACAGCCUUGCUGGCCUCUAUCCCUGGUGGUCUCACAGCUAUCAUCAGCCUUGACCGCCUCGCUGCCCGUCCCCCUCCAUGGGUCUUUUCUUGAAACACUGGCAAGUCACCUGUAGAUUGCUGUGUACGUGGUAAUUCCACUCUCGCUGUGGGUGCUCCCAAAGGGAGUACGACCGAGGUCUCUGGCCCAAGAAAGUUAAUCAAGACCUGGCAGCCCUCCUACACAGGUGCUGUCUUUUUCUCCUCCUCAUGGAGAGUCCCGUGAACCAACAGGUUGGAAGCCCCCGUGUAUUCGAUAGAAAUAUACAUUUUUUUUUUAGUGUUUCAUUGGACAUGCCUUUUAAAGCUGGAGAACUACAUGAAAACCCCGAAGGACUGGAACUCACUACUCCCAGAUCAAGAGUCACACGCUCCAUGGACUGAGCCAGCCAGGCGCCCCCCAGUGGCUACUCUUAACAAAAAACCAUUAACCCACCAACUACAGGAGACAGUCUCAAAUGAUCAUCAUUGAAGGAUCUAAGCCCCCUUGAGUAUUCAGACACCGACCAACUAAAGCCGGAGAAUUGACAAUAUUGACCGUUGCUGGCCUUCAUGACUUUGACCUGAACUCUGUCCCCUUAAAACGACUUUUGCCCCAAUUCCAUGCUGGAUUCCCCAUUGGGCAAGCUGAUUCAUGAACAGAUUGGAGCUGGAGCAGAGAAGGAGCCUGGAUGACAUGCCUGCGAGAGACCACCCGUCUCAGGGCCCCUGGAUGUGGUUCCUCAAGCAAAGAUUCCUUGGGCGUCAUGGACCAUCUGCCUCCUCCUAUGGAUGUCUUCAGCAUCAUCUCUCUCCCUCUCCCGCAGCAAGAGGGCUUGAUCAAGAUGGCUGGACUACAUCUGCUUUGAGGAUCAAGCAGGAGACAGAUAAGCUGCCAGUUCCCCAAAUGCAGAGUUGUACACUUUACGUCUUGAGAAUCAGACCUCCCACUGGCGGGAGCGCUUGCCCUUAACUGAUACGUCAAGGAAUCAAACCAGGUUAUUUUUGUUCAUGAGAUGGUGAAAUACACUGAAAGUAGUGAGGGGGGAAAGGCGUGAGAGAGAAAACGCCCGCUGCUUCCACUGGGAUCCUUGCUGGCUGUUCCUGAGUUUUCCAUGGAAAGCACUUGGAUACUCAGAACAAAGGGUUCUGAUGUCACACACUCCUGACCAUAGAGGCAUCAGCCACUGAGAGGACAAGCCAGACGGGUGAUCUCUGGACCCACGGCUUCUGGCUCACUCUCCUGGCUCUGGGAAGAAGAUACUUGCUGGUGCAUGGGGCAUGUUGAAAUACCAGGGAAAUUAACCCCUGGGAGCAGCACUCAACCGAUGAUACAUAGAAACUGGCGGGUAGAAGUUCAGCUCUCUCACCCCUUGGGAGGAGUAACUCUAAGUGGGAUUUUGAAAUUGAAGAUGGGAUUAUUUUCACCUGUGGAUCAACUUGGUGUAGAACAAAGAUGGCAUGUAGAGAAGCAGGAAUCCAGAGGCUGAGGUGAGCAUCCAUUCAUUUAUUCAUCCAUCUGUCCAUCCAUCCAUCCAUCCAUCUAUCCAUCCAUCAUCAUCCAUCAUCCAUCAUCCAUCCAUCCGU